CGAAAGGAGCAGGACUGCGAGCGCACGCAGCAAGCCAGCAUGCUGGCCGACGUGGCCCAGGCUUUUGAGAGUGAUGAGAGCGUGUCUGACGACGAGGGCGACAGGGUCACCCUCUUCAGCUCAGCCACUCAGCUGUCGCCCAGCAGGCAGGCCAAUGCCAAGACUCUGACCGUGAUGAUGCAGGAGCAGCUGGACAUCAUCAAUGAAGAGAUCCGGUUGAUCGAAGAAGAGAAGGAGAACACGGAGCAGCGGGCCGAGGAGACUGAGAGCAGGGAGGGCAGGGGGAGCUUAGGCAGCCUCCGUCGUUUUAAAUCAGUGAGCUCCCUCAACCUGCUUUCCACCUCCUCGCAUGCUGACUCCUGCCCGCCCCUGCCCAAGCCCAGAAGGAGGCAGCACAGCCUGGUGCAGGAGGGAGACCAGCUGGGCAUCAUGACUCUGGUAUGUGUCUGCCUCCUCCCUGCCGCAUCCCUCCCCCAGCACGCUGUUUUUUGUUUGUUUUUUGUUUUUUCUCUUUAUACCCAGAAGAAAAUCAGGUACAUUUGCUACGCUCAGAGGUCUAAAAGUUUUUAAACUGCCUAGUCUUUAAUCAUUCCACAAUGGCACAGUGACAAAUUAGUCUUGAUAUUUGGACCACCAACUUAGCACGUCAUCAUGAACUCAGCCAGAGCCUGCCUCUGUAACGUUGCACCUGGCCUGUGCUGGGCACAGCAGCUGCAGGGAAGUUUCUGUUCUCAGGGAGCAGACAGCUUCAUGAAAGUAACCAUAGGGAGCUCUCAUGGCAUGGGAAAGCCGUACAGCACAUUCUCCAUUGGGGAUGCCUGGCUACAGGGUGCAGGGCAUGCGGUGGGAACAAAACCAAGAAUCUACACUGGUCUGCUUGUUGAUGGACCUGGCCAUGCGCUCAGUCCAGCUCUGUGUAUGAAACCAGGUUAAAAGCCCAGGGCCCCAGGGCCCCAGGGAAGACGUCGGGCUGCCUCACUUUUCCGAGUCUAAAACUGGGAUGACGACCUAGGGCUUUUGGUGACAGAGUGUGCGGCUCUAAAGCACAUGUUCCAGCUUUCUUGCGUGUUUAGCUUAGGUGUUGUGAGUGUAUUGCUGUUUACCCCGUGAAAUCAUGUGUACAAGAUUCUGCUUUGUAACUGGACUUGUAUUGUCUCUUUUUUCUGUUACCACCCAUUUCAUGUUAGCUGCAUUGUUAGUCAGCUUGUAAUUAAAUUAACCGUGAAUCAUUUUAGCGGCCUGUGAAGUGGUAACUAGUCCACUUUGUGGUCUUUUGACACUGUUUUUAUAAUUUGCAUCAUUGGCUAAUUAGUUGAUAUUUAAAAUUCUUUGAUGAUUUCUCUGCGGAUUCAUGCUUGAUUUCUUUCCAAAUAUUUGGAAAAGAACAAUUCUGUAUGUUUUCCUUGCUGUUGGAGUUCUCUGACAGUGUGUCUGCUUUCAUCACUGGUUUUGAUUCCCUCCCUCAUCCUGUUGUCUGCUUAUUCGUCAUGAAUCCAGAUCCCCCACCAGCCCCCGAGGCUGUAGUUUACCCAUCCAUCUCUCCUCCCCCGUCCCCUCACUUGCUCUGGUCAUAGCCGUGCUGUGGUCCACAGCGUGUGUCCCCUUAGUUGGGUUUGUGCUUUGUCUUCAUGUCUCAUUAAAUGGUGUUUUUCCCCCAUAGCAGUAAGUUGAAUUGGUGUAUCACUAUGCAGUUACAGGAGAAGGCAAUGGCAACCCACUCCAGUACUCUUGCCUGGAAAAUCCCAUGGACGGAGGAACCUGGUAUGCUGAAGUCCAUGGUGUCCCACAGAGUCGGACACGACUGAAGCAACUUAGCAGCAGCAGCACACAGUUAUAAGCAUAAUAUAUGUAGAUGGAUCCUAAACUACAUAUCAUGUGUAAUUCAUAAAUGAGAUUGUGCUUACAUAAAGAAAUGAUCCUCUUAAGUGUAGAAUUAAUGGACUUUUAGAUAUGCAGAUGACAUCACCCUUAAGGCAGAAAGUGAGAGGAACUAGAAAGCCUCUUGAUGAAAGUGAAAGAGGAGAGUGAAAAAGUUGGCUUAAAGCUCGACACGCAGAAAACUAAGAUCAUGGUAUCUGGUCCCAUCACUUCAUAGGAAAUAGAUGGGGAAACAGUGUCAGACUUUAUUUUUUGGGGCUCCAAAAUCACUGCAGAUGGUGACUGCAGCCAUGAAAUUAAAAGGCGCUUACUCCUUGGAAGCAAAGUUACGACCAACAUAGAUAGCGUAUUCAAAAGCAGAGACAUUACUUUGCCACCAAAGGUCCAUCUAGUCAAGGCUAUGGUUUUUCCAGUUGUCAUGUAUGGAUAUGAAAGUUGGACUGUGAAGAAAGCUGAGCAUCACAGAAUUGAUGCUUUUGAGCUGUGGUGUUGGAGAAGACUCUUGAGAGUGAGUCCCUUGGACUGCAAGGAGAUGCAACCAGUCCAUUCUAAAGGAGAUCAGUCCUGGGUGUUCAUUGGAAGGACUGAUGCUAAAGCUGAAACUCCAGCACUUUGGCCACCUCAAGUGAAGAGUUGACGCAUUGGAAAAGACUCUCAGGCUGGGAGGAAUUGGGGGAAGGAGGAGAAGGGGACGACAGAGGAUGAAUGGCUGGAUGGCAUCACCAACUCAGUGGACAUGAGUUUGGGUGAACUCCAAGAGUUGGUGAUGGACAGAGGGUCCUGGCAUGCUGCGAUUCAUGGGGUCACAAAGAGUCGGACACAACUGAGCAACUGAACUGAACUGACACAAUAUCCUUUCUGUGUUGGUGCUUGUAUUUAAGACUGUAAAUCUCAUCAGCUUUUGCACAGUUAAUGUCUCUAUUAGACUCGUUAAAAAAGUAUCUUCUAUUGUUAAUAAAAUGUAAAAACUGCACCUGCUAUUAUGCUAG
ensembl:lncRNA